UCCCUUUUUCUAUGAUUUCGGGUAUCUUCUGUUUCGAUGCGAUCUCAGAGCUUUUUUCCUGUUCGUUGAAGAGUGUUUGACUGGUGUUAUGGCUUAAUACUCUGUUGGGCUUUUCGGGUUAUCCCGGGUACAAGUUUAUUGAUGCUUUCCUUGCCUACGGGAGAAAGGAGGGGAUCUUCGGAUCUUGCCCUUUGGAUGAGCCUAUGUCGGAUUCCCUUACUGGAGGGGAAAAGGCCUACCCGCGAAACGACGCGCUCCUGGUCUAUCGGGGUGGGCGUCCCUUCUGGGAGUGAAACAUUCACCGUCCUCCUGCUCGCGGAACCGGGGGGGAAUUUUGCACUUGGGGGACAACCCUGACCCAAACACGGGCGGGGUGUAAAAAAGGCUUUCGCUGUUAAAAGCUUUUUCCGCUUGGAGGAAAUAUUUAUGGCUAAUACUCAUCACGCUUGUCUUUACUUACACAAGAAGCACUAGCUAAC
rnacentral:rRNA from 1 species